CCUACGGGUGGCUGCAGUGAGGAAUAUUGGUCAAUGGGCGAGAGCCUGAACCAGCCAAGUCGCGUGAGGGAAGACGGUCCUAUGGAUUGUAAACCUCUUUUGUCGGGGAGCAAAAAGGCCUCGUGAGGCCACAAGUGAGAGUACCCGCAGAAAAAGCAUCGGCUAACUCCGUGCCAGCAGCCGCGGUAAUACGGAGGAUGCGAGCGUUAUCCGGAUUUAUUGGGUUUAAAGGGUGCGUAGGCGGACUGGAAAGUCAGCGGUAAAAAUUCGGGGCUCAACCCCGUCCGGCCGUUGAAACUGGGGGCCUUGAGUGGGCGAGAAGAAGGCGGAAUGCGUGGUGUAGCGGUGAAAUGCAUAGAUAUCACGCAGAACCCCGAUUGCGAAGGCAGCCUUCCGGCGCCCGACUGACGCUGAGGCACGAAAGUGCGGGGAUCGAACAGGAUUAGAUACCCUGGUAGUC
rnacentral:rRNA from 1 species